UCUGGGGUGGUUCUUCUCUGCUCUGCCUGGCUAGGACUGUCACUUGAUGCUGCUCCUUGCUUUUCCCUCUCCACGUGACAUCCUCAUCCUUCAGGGCCUGUCAGUGGAACCUGGACUACUCACAGAAUGGUGAUGGGCAUCAGACAUGACAUAUGUAACAUGUCCCAUGCACGGAAGGGUGCUCCAUGACUGCAAACCUGGAUGAUGAUGACAACGACGAUGGAGAUGACUAAGACUGUAUUUAAAAAUGGAAUUGCUGUUGUUUCCUGGCUUCCUGAUGGUCCUGUUUUUUACCUUCUGCUGCUUUUUACGGAUUUAUUUUUGCUUGACUGAUUCGUACCUUUUUGAGCAAUGGGAACCUUUGGUGGUGUAAAGCC
rnacentral:lncRNA from 10 species